rnacentral:lncRNA from 1 species
ACGAAAUCCUCCUCUUCCUCGUCCUCUAUUUGUUGAACGGUUAUUGUCACCUUUCACUUGAAAUGCCUUCUCUUCACUCUUCUCUUCACUCCUUUCUGCUGAUCUAUUGAUUCUCGCCUCAUGAGAUUGAAGAGAUCCCAUCAGUUCAUCAACGGAAAGAACUGACAGAUCUUUGGACUCUUCUAUAGCAGCCACAACAUGAUCAAAUUUUGUCGUUAAGCUUCGCAAGACUUUUGCUACAAUUGUCUCGUCUGAAAUUUUCUCACCAUAGGAGCGCAAUUGACCGACUAUUGUCCUUGUUCGUGACAAAAAAUCAGCAAUUGAUUCACCAUUCUUCAUCAUUAAGGUCUCAAAAUCACGUCGUAGUGAUUGUAAUUUCACUACUAUGACUCUUGAAUCACCUUGAUAUUCUUUCUGCAAGAUUGACCAUGCUUCAUUCGAUGUGGUUGCUGCUGCAAUUCGAGAGAAAAUAGAGUCAUGAACUGCUUGCUGGAUAAUGAACAAUGCCUUAGCAUCAUUUUUCCUGACUUCUUUCAACCUCCUAUCUUCUUCUUCAUCAGGUUCAAGUAUGUCAACGAACCCGUACUCCACCAAGUCCCAUAGCUCUUGC